UCGAAGGUAGCAUAAUCAGUAGUCUUUUAAUUGAAGGCUGGUAUGAAUGGUUGGACGAAAUAUUAACUGUUUCAUAAAAAUUUAUAAUAAAAUUUUAUUUUUUAGUCAAAAAGCUAAAAUUUAUUUAAAAGACGAGAAGACCCUAUAAAUCUUUAUAUAAUUAUUUAUUAUAAUUUUUUAGAUUUAUUUUGUUAUAAUUAAUAAUUAUAUUUUAUUGGGGUGAUAUUAAAAUUUAAUAAACUUUUAAUUUAAAAAAUCAUUAAUUUAUGAAUAGUUGAUCCGUUAUUAACGAUUAAAAAAUUAAGUUACUUUAGGGAUAACAGCGUAAUUUUUUUGGAGAGUUCUUAUCGAUAAAAAAGAUUGCGACCUCGAUGUUGGAUUAA
rnacentral:rRNA from 1 species